GCACUGCGCUCCCUCCGCUGCGGCGGCGGCUGUGGCUGCUCCCGGCGGGAUCAGAAAUGACCACCCCAAACAAGACCCCACCUGGUGCUGAUCCAAAGCAGCUGGAGAGGACUGGUACUGUUAGAGAAAUAGGCUCACAAGCAGUUUGGUCUCUCUCAUCCUGUAAGCCAGGGUUUGGAGUGGAUCAGUUACGAGAUGAUAAUCUAGAAACUUACUGGCAGUCAGAUGGAUCACAGCCUCAUUUGGUGAACAUCCAAUUUAGAAGAAAAACAACAGUGAAGACCUUAUGUAUUUAUGCAGACUACAAAUCUGAUGAAAGUUACACUCCAAGCAAGAUCUCUGUCAGAGUAGGAAAUAAUUUUCAUAAUCUCCAGGAAAUCCGGGAUAGAUGUGCAACUUUUACACGUCAGAACUUGACUGCUCUGAUAGAGCAGCAAGAUCCAUCAUGAAGAACAUGGUAUUCCUCCAGCUAAAGUUUUCUGCUGGAUUGGUUUGAGGUCUAUUGUGCUGCAGAAUUGGCCUUCCAGGAUAGCAGAGAAAGCUUCCUUCCAGUGAAUGGGAAUGCAAUGAGAAAUCCUCAUGUCCUGGGACCUGACAUCACUUCAACUGCAAGUCCUGCUGAAAAACAGUCUACAUCACUUCCCUGUCAUCACUUCCCUCUGCAGUCUCCAGGAGAAAUCCAAGACCUUCCCAGGAGUGAUGGACAAGAACGAAGCCCAGACAAUCCGAAUUAUGUGCUUAGGGCAGCAGAGCCCAUGAAGAAGCCCUACAAAGGUGCUCAGAGCAAUGCUAGGGACUUCAAAUGAAUUUCACCAAUACAGGGAUCAGUAGAUCCAUUAGAGAAACAAAAAGGUAUCUUUUUAGGAGGGAAACAUUACUUUUUGUUGUACAGUGCAAUCACUUCUCUUCCUCUGUUUUUGUAUAUUGUCUUUCUCCUAAUCUGACUGCCAGUGCUGUAAUGAGUGAAAUAUGUUUGUGAAAUUAAAACCAACCUCCAGGAUUAUUUUUAUGAAGGAAAUAUAUCACUUCAGUUUCUUGGUUAUAUCAUCUUCAGGAUAGUUUUAAGUUGAUUCUUUGGAACACAUUUGCUAAUUUAUGAAAAUAUAAUGAUUUUAUCACUGCUAAAUUUCCUUUGACAUUAAAAAAGAAGACAAAAUUAGCCACCACUAUAUAAUUCCAUCUAUUGGUAUUAUAAAUAUCUUAAUGGGAUAGCUGUCCAAAAUUCUUUUCAGAGGCAUCAAUUUAUAUUACCUUUGAUUCAACCACAGCUGCAUUAUUGGCAUUGUAAUGAUCAUUAUUCUAAUUAUUUACUGGGUACAACAUAUGUCUCUAAAAUUCUGAAAAAGUAUUUUUGCUGUUUUUACUGUCACUGGAGUUAAGUAUUUGUUUCUAUUUCAGGUACAGAAAGAAAAUAGCAGAAGCAUCUGUUUUCAGACACUUGAGUGUAAGAGAGAAAAUUUUUACACUUCUUUUUAGGGGAAAAAAAGUUUGCCUUUUCUUGGUAUUAUUGCUCUGAGGCUGGAAAACAGAUGAGCAGUUUUUGUUUUCUUCAAAGUGUGUAUAUCCAAAUUCUGGCACUAUACAUGGUUCCUAAGUGAGCACAGAGGACACAUUCCAUGAUGUUUGCACUGUGCAAGUGGAUGCAAUGUUUUACAGAGUGGUUUGUUGAGGUUUUUGUAACUGCUGCCUGUUCUGCACUGCCUGCUGGAAAAUCAUCUGUCCACAGAGUAUUCUCCAUUACUGAUUUCUAGUAUUGAAGUGUGUAACAGGUAAGUAAAACCAAAUACUCUGUCAAGUAGUGACAAUGCUGCCAUUGCCACAGUGAUCUCCCAUCCUUGUGGGUAAGGGACCAUGGACAAUGAUUAUAGGAACUAGACUGCAAAUGUAAAAAUGUUUAAGAACCCUUGUUUUAAAACUAUAAUUUAGGUUUUGGAGGUUUGGGGUUUUUGAUUUAUUUAUUAUUUUAUGUAAUGUACUCAUUCCACAAAUUCUUUACUCUUUCUAUUUAAGAGCUGGAGUCCUGCUCCUAGGCACAUUCCCUUUCUCCUUCCCUGCAAAGUACAUAAAGCCUCCAUUCUUGCCAGCCUGCAUUAAACACUGCAACACAAUUAUCCUCAGUCACUGGACUGUUAUCUCAGGGAAUUGAAUUAGACUUUCUAGCUUAGAAACAUCAAAUUAUUUACACAAAAUGUUAUAGUUGAAACAGAUCCAGUGUAGACCAUUACAUGAUGAUUUUUUAAAAAGAUCAGGUCACGGAUUUAAAACAGAACUGAAAGUUGUAUCUGAUCCUGAGUGUACCUGUUGGGAGUCAUAUCAAGCAGGUUAGUGCCUGUUCAGAAGCAUGGAAAAUCAGUUUUCCAUUUAGCCUUGUCUCUAAGUUGCAGCUGUAAAAGUUUCCUCAAGAAAGGUUCCUUUGGGACCAAUAACAGUUCUGUGGAAAUUUCACUGUCAGUUUUCCACCAGUACAAGUGAUCAGAACUUUUGGUUAAGAAAUAUGAAACAGCUUUAGGUGUUCAAAACCACCCCUGAUAAGUCCCUUCUGUUUGGAUAUCUUGAACAUAAUGGUUAUCUUCAGGGGCAGAAAGGGAAGCAUUCAGCAAAAUACAUAAUCAUAUAAAGUAGGGUUUUUUUCUCCUGAAAAAGGGGCAAUAUGUUUCAUUGCUCUCUUUUUCAAUACACACUAAAAACCUCUGAGAUUCUCUCUCAGAAAAGUCUAUCCUAAUUGGCCUCUUGCCCUUACAGCUGAAACAAAAUUAUCAGUUAACAUGUGCUAUGCAUUCCAAAUUGACCUGGGUUGUCACAAUUAUCAGUUAAGAUCCCUCUGUCAAGAGUGUGUCAACAUGACUUUCAUCCAUGAAGGCUUUUUGAUACAUAGUCCUGACUGUUCUAGGCAUAACCUGAUUACAACUUAAAACUUCUUUAUGUAGCUGAAUUUUACUUGCAUUACCAUUCUGAAUUGUGACAAGAAAUCAACAUGGAACAACACUUGAAUUCCAGCAUUCCAGAAGUAAAAUAUCUUCCAACAGACUUAAAAGUUUUCCAUUGGUACUUACCCCAUAACUAGAUGUAAUUUCUCACCUCCACCUUCCAACAUAUUCCCAUCAGUGCCCAUUCCCCACUGACUGCCCCAACCACAGAAGUGUUCCCAGUGGACAGGAAGGAAGCUGUUCAUCCCACCAACCCCCAUGUUUGAAUUCAGAGGGACGGUCACUUCUAUGUGCCCCUCCAACACACACAGUUUUAGAGCAGCCUCCCACCCAGGGAAGCUUGGGCUACAUUUGGGGUUGAGCCAAGAGGGAAUGAGCACCCCUGCUCCUCUCCAGGGCAUCCCUGACCAUUCCCAGGCCCCCUCCUGUGUCCAGGUCUCCAGGCAUCACCGAGCACCUGGGGGGCAGGGGAGGCCCUGAGCCAAACUUGCUCCCACUGCCACCACAGCAAAACUCAUCUGAAUUCAAUGGGCUGGAAAUGAGCCCAAAGGAUGAAAAUACAAAGAUACUGCUGUGGAAUGCUGGUGCUGAAUAGUUUCAUUUGAAUUUAAAGUGAGGAAAAAAUGAAGGGAAAGAAAAUAGUUUGAUAAGAGUUACAAGAUGCUGUUUUCCCUUCCCACUAUGAGUUUUCACUUCUUUGCCAUAAAGAACUGUGGUGUCUCUUGUUGUUACUCUUUUUUGUUAUUUAAAUUUAAUUAUACCUAAAAAAUAUUCUUCCCAUUUCACCCAUAUACAUGCUAAAAUAUUAAAAGGUAGAGGUAAGUAUAAAAUCCAACCUUUAUUCCACUUUGAACAAGCUUGUGUAUAUCCAAAAAAGGUUCCUUGAGUAUGUCUCCUUCGGGAGUGAAGAUCUUCACAUAUCCUUCUUU